rnacentral:rRNA from 1 species
UAGGCGUAGUAAUAUAUCAUCUCGCUUUUGUAGUUGCCCUGGCGCUUGCCGUAAAACACCCAAUUUUAAUAGGUUUGACCUCGGAUCAGGUAAGAAUACCCGCUGAACUUAAGCAUAUCAAUAAGCGGAGGAAAAGAAACCAACAGGGAUUGCCCUAGUAACGGCGAGUGAAGCGGCAACAGCUCAAAUUUGAAAUCUGGCCCUCGGGUCCGAGUUGUAAUUUGUAGAGGAUGCUUUUGGCGCGGUGCCUUCCGAGUUCCCUGGAACGGGACGCCUUAGAGGGUGAGAGCCCCGUACGGUUGGACGCUAAGCCUCUGUAAAGCUCCUUCAACGAGUCGAGUAGUUUGGGAAUGCUGCUCUAAAUGGGAGGUAAAUUUCUUCUAAAGCUAAAUACCGGCCAGAGACCGAUAGCGCACAAGUAGAGUGAUCGAAAGAUGAAAAGCACUUUGAAAAGAGGGUUAAAUAGCACGUGAAAUUGUUGAAAGGGAAGCGUUUGCGACCAGACCUUUUCC